AGUGAACGCUGGCGGUAGGCCUAACACAUGCAAGUCGAACGGCAGCACAGUAAGAGCUUGCUCUUACGGGUGGCGAGUGGCGGACGGGUGAGGAAUACAUCGGAAUCUACUUUUUCGUGGGGGAUAACGUAGGGAAACUUACGCUAAUACCGCAUACGACCUACGGGUGAGAGCAGGGGAUCUUCGGACCUUGCGCGAUUGAAUGAGCCGAUGUCGGAUUAGCUAGUUGGCGGGGUAAAGGCCCACCAAGGCGACGAUCCCUAGCUGGUGUGAGAGGAUGAGGCCGGACACAGAGGCUGUGAGACGGGGUUGAGACUGAGAAGGGGGGCAGGAGUGGAGAAUAGGGGACAGUGGGCAAAAUUGUGCCAGCGGCACAGCGCGGGGGUAGAGAAGGCCCGCGGGUUGUAACGCCCUUUUGGUGGGAAAGAAGCGCCGCUGGUUAAUACCCCGUUGUUGACGGUGCCCACAAAAGAAGCACCGGCUAACUACGUG
rnacentral:rRNA from 1 species